rnacentral:rRNA from 1 species
AUGAACGCUGGCGGCGUGCCUAAUACAUGCAAGUCGAGCGAACGGACGAGGAGCUUGCUUCUCUGAUGUUAGCGGCGGACGGGUGAGUAACACGUGGAUAACCUACCUAUAAGACUGGGAUAACUUCGGGAAACCGGAGCUAAUACCGGAUAAUAUUUUGAACCGCAUGGUUCAAAAGUGGAAGACGGUCUUGCUGUCACUUAUAGAUGGAUCCGCGCUGCAUUAGCUAGUUGGUAAGGUAACGGCUUACCAAGGCAACGAUGCAUAGCCGACCUGAGAGGGUGAUCGGCCACACUGGAACUGAGACACGGUCCAGACUCCUACGGGAGGCAGCAGUAGGGAAUCUUCCGCAAUGGGCGAAAGCCUGACGGAGCAACGCCGCGUGAGUGAUGAAGGUCUUCGGAUCGUAAAACUCUGUUAUUAGGGAAGAACAUAUGUGUAAGUAACUGUGCACAUCUUGACGGUACCUAAUCAGAAAGCCACGGCUAACUACGUG